rnacentral:tRNA from 1 species
GGGGCUGUAGCUUAGUGGUAGAGUGCUCGCCUAGCAUGCGUGAAGCACUGGGUUCAAUCCUCAGCAUCA